rnacentral:rRNA from 1 species
AUUGAACGCUAGCGGGAUGCUUUACACAUGCAAGUCGAACGUGUGGCGGACGGGUGAGUAAUAUAGCGGAACGUGCCCAGUAGCGGGGGAUAAAUACUCGAAAGAGUGGCUUAUACCACAUACUAUUGGAGCGGCCGAUAGCGGAUUAGCUAGUGGGGGGGGAAAAGGGACCACAAGGAAAAGAUCCGUAGCGGGUUUGAGGGGACGACCAGCCACAAUGGGACUGAGACAAGGCCCAGACUCCGACGGGAGGCAGCAGUGGGGAAUUUUGGACAAUGGGGGAAACCAUGAUGCAGCAAUCCCGCGUGUAUGAGAAGGCCUUCGGGUUGUAAAGUACUGUUGGCAGAGAAGCGGUAUCUGCAGAAUAAGCACCGGCUAACUACGUGCCAGCAGCCGCGGUAAUAC